rnacentral:rRNA from 1 species
CAGUCGAACGAAACUUCUUUAUCACCGAGUGCUUGCACUCACCGAUAAACAGUUGAGUGGCGAACGGGUGAGUAACACGUGGGCAACCUGCCCAAAAGAGGGGGAUAACACUUGGAAACAGGUGCUAAUACCGCAUAACCAUAGUUACCGCAUGGUAGCUAUGUAAAAGGUGGCUAUGCUACCGCUUUUGGAUGGGCCCGCGGCGCAUUAGCUAGUUGGUGGGGUAAAGGCUUACCAAGGCAAUGAUGCGUAGCCGAACUGAGAGGUUGAUCGGCCACAUUGGGACUGAGACACGGCCCAAACUCCUACGGGAGGCAGCAGUAGGGAAUCUUCCACAAUGGGCGAAAGCCUGAUGGAGCAACGCCGCGUGGGUGAAGAAGGUCUUCGGACCGUAAAACCCUGUUGUUAGAGAAGAAAGUGCGUGAGAGUAACUGUUCACGUUUCGACGGUAUCUAACCAGAAAGCCACGGCUAACUACGUGCCAGCAGCCGCGGUAAUACGUAGGUGGCAAGCGUUAUCCGGAUUUAUUGGGCGUAAAGGGAACGCAGGCGGUCUUUUAAGUCUGAUGUGAAAGCCUUCGGCUUAACCGGAGUAGUGCAUUGGAAACUGGGAGACUUGAGUGCAGAAGAGGAGAGUGGAACUCCAUGUGUAGCGGUGAAAUGCGUAGAUAUAUGGAAGAACACCAGUGGCGAAAGCGGCUCUCUGGUCUGUAACUGACGCUGAGGUUCGAAAGCGUGGGUAGCAAACAGGAUUAGAUACCCUGGUAGUCCACGCCGUAAACGAUGAAUGCUAAGUGUUGGAGGGUUUCCGCCCUUCAGUGCUGCAGCUAACGCAUA